CCUACGGGAGGCAGCAGUAGGGAAUCUUCCACAAUGGGCGAAAGCCUGAUGGAGCAACGCCGCGUGGGUGAAGAAGGUCUUCGGAUCGUAAAACUCUGUUGUUAGAGAAGAAAGUGCGAGAGAGUAACUGUUCACGUCUCGACGGUAUCUAACCAGAAAGCCAGGGCUAACUACGUGCCAGCAGCCGCGGUAAUACGUAGGUGGCAAGCGUUAUCCGGAUUUAUUGGGCGUAAAGGGAACGCAGGCGGUCUUAUAAGUCUGAUGUGAAAGCCUUCGGCUUAACCGGAGUAGUGCAUUGGAAACUGGGGGACUUGAGUGCAGAAGAGGAGAGUGGAACUCCAUGUGUAGCGGUGAAAUGCGUAGAUAUAUGGAGGAACACCAGUGGCGAAAGCGGCUCUCUGGUCUGUAACUGACGCUGAGGUGCGAAAGCGUGGGGAGCAAACAGGAUUAGAUACCCUAGUAGUC
rnacentral:rRNA from 1 species